AUGGGCGGCGGCGGUGGUGACGGCAGCGAGAGCUCGAGCGGUGGCGGCUUUCCUGGCUGGAGUUGUUCCUCCUCCCUCGCCGGAAGUAGCCGUGGUGCCGCCAUCAUCAUGGCGGACAGUAUGGCAGGCGGCAGCUCGGAGAGCGUGGCACUGGCCAGCCGCGUCGUCGCCGGCGUCCACGAUGGCAGGUCUCCGGCGCCCGCUGUGGCAUGGCCUCGCAUCCGGGACUCACGUUUGUUUCCUCAAGAGGUGUGGCAGCGGGGCGAGCCGGAGUUGCGGCCGGAGUGCGGGCGGGUUGUCAUCGCUCGCACUGCUGGCAUGGUGGCUCUCGAGGGAGAUUUCUAUGGCCGUGUCCUGUACGCCACCAUCAUUGGACAGCCGCGGAGCGUGGUGACGCCGGAGGCACUAGCGGCGGCGAUGGAGUCUCACUGUGCUGUCCGACGGACGACAACCAAGGUGGAGGUCACUUGCCCACCAUUCCAUUUUUUCGUUCGCUUCGAGUCGAUAGAUGAUUGCACUCGUGUGGUGCACGCGUCGGAGCAGCUUCGUUGUUGUGGCAGCAGGAUUUCUUUUCAGCGCUGGUCAAGCUUCUCGCGUGGCAAGCCGGGGGAGCUCAAGUACAAGACGUUGCUGAGUUUGGAGGGGUUGCCGGAGGAGGCUUGGGAUCCACACACCGUCAACCUGGUGCUCGCCGGUGUCGACGGCGAGCUCAUUGACAUGCUCCCGGCCACCGACAAGUGGGUGUUGCUGGUGACCGCGUGGCUGCGCAACCCUUCAGGUGUGCCAAAGGUGCUCACCGUGGCUGUUCCUGCACCUCCUACGGGGCCAUGGAAGCCAGACUCCGACGACGAGAACGCACAUUCACCGCCGGCUCCAAAUUCUCCCACAGAGCGUGCAACCGUAGAAUUUCCAGUGAUUAUGCAUGUCAAAGAGGUCGUUGAUCGUGGCCCAUUGCUAACUGAAGGCUUGGCUGUAGAAUUUCUCCCUGAUGAAGAUGAAGACCUUACCCGGAAGCAUACUUGCACCACCUGGCGCGGCAAGAUAGAUGGCACUGGCCCUGGACAAUAUGGCACAGCUUAA
rnacentral:rRNA from 1 species